UGUAGCUCAGUCGGUAGAGCAGUUGACUGUUAAUCAAUUGGUCGUAGGUUCGAGUCCUACCG
rnacentral:tRNA from 1 species